CGUAUCACUUAAAGCGAUUCAGCGGGUUACGAUUGACGGAGCGAAGCGACGUCAAAGCGUAUACAAAGUCGAGUCGGUUUAAGGAUACGUUCGUUGGGUAGGGGAGCGUUCUGUAAGCCUGUGAAGGUGGCCUGUGAGGGUUGCUGGAGGUAUCAGAAGUGCGAAUGCUGACAUAAGUAACGAUAAAGCGGGUGAAAAGCCCGCUCGCCGGAAGACCAAGGGUUCCUGUCCAACGUUAAUCGGGGCAGGGUGAGUCGACCCCUAAGGCGAGGCCGAAAGGCGUAGUCGAUGGGAAACGGGUUAAUAUUCCCGUACUUGGUGUUACUGCGAAGGGGGGACGGAGAAGGCUAUGUUGGCCGGGCGACGGUUGUCCCGGUUUAAGCGUGUAGGUGUGUGUUCCAGGUAAAUCCGGUUCACUUUAACACUGAGGCGUGACGACGAGGCACUACGGUGCUGAAGCAACAAAUGCCCUGCUUCCAGGAAAAGCCUCUAAGCAUCAGGUAACAUCAAAUCGUACCCCAAACCGACACAGGUGGUCAGGUAGAGAAUACCAAGGCGCUUGAGAGAACUCGGGUGAAGGAACUAGGCAAAAUGGUGCCGUAACUUCGGGAGAAGGCACGCUGACACGUAGGUGAAGUGAUUUACUCACGGAGCUGAAGUCAGUCGAAGAUACCAGCUGGCUGCAACUGUUUAUUAAAAACACAGCACUGUGCAAACACGAAAGUGGACGUAUACGGUGUGACGCCUGCCCGGUGCCGGAAGGUUAAUUGAUGGGGUCAGCGCAAGCGAAGCUCCUGAUCGAAGCCCCGGUAAACGGCGGCCGUAACUAUAACGGUCCUAAGGUAGCGAAAUUCCUUGUCGGGUAAGUUCCGACCUGCACGAAUGGCGUAAUGAUGGCCAGGCUGUCUCCACCCGAGACUCAGUGAAAUUGAACUCGCUGUGAAGAUGCAGUGUACCCGCGGCAAGACGGAAAGACCCCGUGAACCUUUACUAUAGCUUGACACUGAACAUUGAGCCUUGAUGUGUAGGAUAGGUGGGAGGCUUUGAAGUGUGGACGCCAGUCUGCAUGGAGCCGACCUUGAAAUACCACCCUUUAAUGUUUGAUGUUCUAACGUGGACCCGUGAUCCGGGUUGCGGACAGUGUCUGGUGGGUAGUUUGACUGGGGCGGUCUCCUCCUAAAGAGUAACGGAGGAGCACGAAGGUUGGCUAAUCCUGGUCGGACAUCAGGAGGUUAGUGCAAUGGCAUAAGCCAGCUUGACUGCGAGCGUGACGGCGCGAGCAGGUGCGAAAGCAGGUCAUAGUGAUCCGGUGGUUCUGAAUGGAAGGGCCAUCGCUCAACGGAUAAAAGGUACUCCGGGGAUAACAGGCUGAUACCGCCCAAGAGUUCAUAUCGACGGCGGUGUUUGGCACCUCGAUGUCGGCUCAUCACAUCCUGGGGCUGAAGUAGGUCCCAAGGGUAUGGCUGUUCGCCAUUUAAAGUGGUACGCGAGCUGGGUUUAGAACGUCGUGAGACAGUUCGGUCCCUAUCUGCCGUGGGCGCUGGAGAACUGAGGGGGGCUGCUCCUAGUACGAGAGGACCGGAGUGGACGCAUCACUGGUGUUCGGGUUGUCAUGCCAAUGGCACUGCCCGGUAGCUAAAUGCGGAAGAGAUAAGUGCUGAAAGCAUCUAAGCACGAAACUUGCCCCGAGAUGAGUUCUCCCUGAGACUUUAGGUCUCCUGAAGGAACGUUGAAGACGACGA
rnacentral:rRNA from 1 species